AGUAGGGGACCUUGUUGUCCAGGAUCCAGGCUCCCAGGACUCACCUGUCAGUGAUGCUGACCACGCCCUGCUGAGUGAUGAGCGCAGUGCUCCUGUGAUGUCAGGAGGGGCAUGGCUCACCUAGGACCCUGUGCUCCCAGGGAGGACAGGACUCCUGACCCAGGUCUGUGCUGAGGAUAAUGGCGUGGCACUGAGCACCCCCUCCCUCGUCCACCUCUGGCCUCCUGUGCAGGGACGUGAGUGAGGACGGGACAGCGGAGGGCAGCAGGCUCUGGCUGCAGGAACUCCUGGGUCUUGAUGGAAGCACAGCAGGAGAUGGACUCAGUCACCUGACUCUCCACAUUAUCCGUCAUGUGGGCAACAUGUGUUCUUCUGAGAAGAGGAGAUGGAACAGAGGAACAAGACACAAGGAAGAAGGACAAGUGAAAGCUGCGCAGAUGUUGGAGUGCCAAGGAUACCAGAGGCUCCAGAAGCCAGGAAAAGUCAUGGAAGAAUGUCUGUCUCAAGCUUCCAAGGGCAGCAGGCCCUGGAGACAAUUUGAUUUUGGACAUCUAUCCACUAGACCUGCAAGAGAGUAAAUUCCUGUUGUGAAAGUCA